rnacentral:lncRNA from 1 species
AUUUUUGGUUUGCUAUAGCAAGGAAUAUGGACAUUGUCUUUUGUGUUUGGCAGGGAUGCGAUGGUAUUCAAGGAAGUUGGAAAAGUGUAGUAGAAAAAUGGAAGGCUUUGAGGACACCUUGAUACAGUGGGGACACACUUCUUCCGUCAGUAACAGUGCACCUACUUCAUGUAUAUUUCAAAUACGCCUGGCGUGGUGGCGCAUGUCUGUAAUCCCAGCACUCGGGAGGCUGAGGCAGGAAGAUCGUUGGGAGUUCGAGACCAGCCUGGGCUACAAAGUGAACUCAAGAUCAGAAGGGAAUAUCAUGAACAUGAGUCUGAAUUUCUUUAGCGCCAAACACUCGAUGACUUCUCCUGUAAUGCCUACUUCAUGCCUCCCAGCACUUUGUCAAAGAUGGAUUGAUCUUCACAAGAUACAUUCAUGUUGCCUUGAAAGCCUUCACCAUUUCCACAUUGGCUACAAAUCACCAUGGAUUCAGCUACUGUACCAGGCAUGUGACGAAUCCCCCAUGUAUCAUUUCAUGGAUGUGUUGCUUCUGGUAAUCCUCUGGUAGUGAUAAGGUCCAGGAACACACGAUCUGCUUUGACUCCCUUUGACAUCUGCUGGACAUGUCCAUAAUUGGGAGGCCUUACUUUGUUUUGCAUGUCAGUCAUGGAAUUGUAUACAUUUUUGCCCAGAUUCUUAGUGCAAAGCCGUGACCCCAUAGCUUAUUAUGGAUUGGGGACUUAGGAGAAAUCCAUCCCAGCAAAGGCAUGACCAAGUAAUGAUGGUGUGCCAGUCCUCAGGUGCAGGGUACUGUGGGACUUUCCAGGAUAUUGCCUGUGUUCAUGUCAUGUCUAGAUUUUUUCAGUCCUCUGAGAAGAAGUUCACACUGUAGCAGAUGAAGUGUGUGACCUCCAAGGAAGAUAUGGUGACAGGGUGGCAUGCCCUGGACUAGUUUGCUCAGAGUGAGUAAAAGCAUUCUGGCCUUUGGUUUCAGCUGCAAGUUGCGCCAGGCAUCCCCUAA